rnacentral:rRNA from 1 species
GCAUAUCAAUAAGCGGAGGAAAAGAAACCAACAGGGAUUGCCCCAGUAACGGCGAGUGAAGCGGCAAGAGCUCAAAUUUGAAAGCUGGCCCCCUCGGGGUCCGCAUUGUAAUUUGCAGAGGAUGCUUCGGGAGCGGUCCCCAUCUAAGUACCCUGGAACGGGUCGUCAUAGAGGGUGAGAAUCCCGUAUGGGAUGGGGUGUCCGCGCCCGUGUGAAGCUCCUUCGACGAGUCGAGUUGUUUGGGAAUGCAGCUCUAAAUGGGUGGUAAAUUUCAUCUAAAGCUAAAUAUUGGCCGGAGACCGAUAGCGCACAAGUAGAGUGAUCGAAAGAUGAAAAGCACUUUGAAAAGAGAGUUAAAAAGCACGUGAAAUUGUUGAAAGGGAAGCGCUUGCGACCAGACUCGCCCACGGGGUUCAGCCGGCAUUCGUGCCGGUGUACUUCCCCGCGGGCGGGCCAGCGUCGGUUUGGGCGGCCGGUCAAAGGCCCUCGGAAUGUAACGCCCCUCGGGGCGUCUUAUAGCCGAGGGUGCCAUGCGGCCUGCCCGGACCGAGGAACGCGCUUCGGCUCGGACGCUGGCAUAAUGGUCGUAAGCGACCCGUCUUGAAACACGGACCAAGGAGUCUAACAUCUACGCGAGUGUUCGGGUGUCAAACCCGUGCGCGCAGUGAAAGCGAACGGAGGUGGGAACCCUCACGGGUGCACCAUCGACCGAUCCUGAUGUCUUCGGAUGGAUUUGAGUAAGAGCGUAGCUGUUGGGACCCGAAAGAUGGUGAACUAUGCCUGAAUAGGGCGAAGCCAGAGGAAACUCUGGUGGAGGCUCGCAGCGGUUCUGACGUGCAAAUCGAUCGUCAAAUUUGGGUAUAGGGGCGAAAGACUAAUCGAACCAUCUAGUAGCUGGUUCCUGCG